rnacentral:rRNA from 1 species
AGUGAACGCUGGCGGUAGGCCUAACACAUGCCAGUCGAACGGCAGCACAGUAAGAGCUUGCUCUUACGGGUGGCGAGUGGCGGACGGGUGAGGAAUACAUCGGAAUCUACUUUUUCGUGGGGGAUAACGUAGGGAAACUUACGCUAAUACCGCAUACGACCUACGGGUGAAAGCAGGGGAUCUUCGGACCUUGCGCGAUUGAAUGAGCCGAUGUCGGAUUAGCUAGUUGGCGGGGUAAAGGCCCACCAAGGCGACGAUCCGUAGCUGGUCUGAGAGGAUGAUCAGCCACACUGGAACUGAGACACGGUCCAGACUCUUACGGGAGGCAGCAGUGGGGAAUAUUGGACAAUGGGCGCAAGCCUGAUCCAGCCAUACCGCGUGGGUGAAGAAGGCCUUCGGGUUGUAAAGCCCUUUUGUUGGGAAAGAAAAGCAGCAGGUUAAUACCCCGCUGUUCUGACGGUACCCAAAGAAUAAGCACCGGCUAACUUCGUG